rnacentral:rRNA from 1 species
CCUACGGGUGGCAGCAGUCGAGAAUUAUUCACAAUGGGGGAAACCCUGAUGGUGCGACGCCGCGUGGGGGAAUGAAGGUCUUCGGAUUGUAAACCCCUGUCAUGUGGGAGCAAAUUAAAAAGAUAGUACCACAAGAGGAAGAGACGGCUAACUCUGUGCCAGCAGCCGCGGUAAUACAGAGGUCUCAAGCGUUGUUCGGAAUCACUGGGCGUAAAGCGUGCGUAGGCUGUUUCGUAAGUCGUGUGUGAAAGGCGCGGGCUCAACCCGCGGACGGCACAUGAUACUGCGAGACUAGAGUAAGGGAGGGGGAACCGGAAUGCUCGGUGUAGCAGUGAAAUGCGUAGAUAUCGAGAGGAACACUCGUGGCGAAGGCGGGUUCCUGGACAUUAACUGACGCUGAGGCACGAAGGCCAGGGGAGCGAAAGGGAUUAGAUACCCCAGUAGUC